rnacentral:rRNA from 1 species
GAUGAACGCUGGCGGCGUGCCUAAUACAUGCAAGUCGAGCGAAUGGAUUAAGAGCUUGCUCUUAUGAAGUUAGCGGCGGACGGGUGAGUAACACGUGGGUAACCUGCCCAUAAGACUGGGAUAACUCCGGGAAACCGGGGCUAAUACCGGAUACAUUUUGAACCGCAUGGUUCGAAAUUGAAAGGCGGCUUCGGCUGUUACUGAUGGAUGGACCCGCGUCGCAUUAGCUAGUUGGUGAGGUAACGGCUCACCAAGGCAACGACGCGUAGCCGACCUGAGAGGGUGAUCGGCCACACUGGGACUGAGACACGGCCCAGACUCCUACGGGAGGCAGCAGUAGGGAAUCUUCCGCAAUGGACGAAAGUCUGACGGAGCAACGCCGCGUGAGUGAUGAAGGCUUUCGGGUCGUAAAACUCUGUUGUUAGGGAAGAACAAGUGCUAGUUGAAUAAGCUGGCACCUUGACGGUACCUAACCAGAAAGCCACGGCUAACUACGUGCCAGCAGCCGCAGUAA